GUAAAGAUGUGGACUAGUUCUUGGUACAAGAGAGAUGCUUGCAGAAGCAAUAGAAAUAUAGUCAUGGGCACCUCAACAGAAGGAUGAGAUGGAUUCUGGCUGACCCGCUGAGUUCCUCCAGAGCUUUAUGGUUUGUUCGAUCCCAGCUUCCAUAGUUCACCAUUGUGUCUCCGUUGUGGUCAUUUAUUUUUCCUGUUUACACCAGUGUUUGCAUUGUUUCCUGCUGACAUGCGAGGAGCUGAGAGAAGAAAAUAACUAAAUUUACUUGGAGGGAAUCCUGUGACCCAAGGGAAGGAAAUCAAUAAUUGGGAAGUGUCUUCUUUUGAAAAAGUAAACAAGAUGAAUGUAUUCAAUUGAAUAAAGACAACAUUUUGGAAA